UGGGGAAUUUUGCACAAUGGGGGAAACCCUGAUGCAGCGACGCCGCGUGAUUUAGAAGGCCUUCGGGUUGUAAAAAUCUUUUGUAUGGGAAGAAAAUGACAGUACCAUACGAAUAAGGACCGGCUAAUUACGUGCCAGCAGCCGCGGUAAUACGUAAGGUCCGAGCGUUGUCCGGAAUCAUUGGGCGUAAAGGGUACGUAGGCGGAUAAGCAAGUUAGAAGUGAAAUCCUAUAGCUCAACUAUAGUAAGCUUUUAAAACUGCUCAUCUUGAGGUAUGGAAGGGAAAGUGGAAUUCCUAGUGUAGCGGUGAAAUGCGCAGAUAAUAGGAGGAAUACCGGUGGCGAAGGCGACUUUCUAGCCAUAUACUGACGCUGAGGUACGAAAGCGUGAGUAGCAAACAGGA
rnacentral:rRNA from 1 species